rnacentral:rRNA from 1 species
AUUGAACGCUGGCGGCAUGCCUUACACAUGCAAGUCGAACGGUAACGCGGGGCAACCUGGCGACGAGUGGCGAACGGGUGAGUAAUGCAUCGGAACGUGCCCAGUUGUGGGGGAUAACUGCUCGAAAGAGCAGCUAAUACCGCAUACGACCUGAGGGUGAAAGCGGGGGAUCGCAAGACCUCGCGCAAUUGGAGCGGCCGAUGUCGGAGUAGCUAGUUGGUGGGGUAAAGGCCCACGAAGGCGACGAUCCGUAGCUGGUCUGAGAGGACGACCAGCCACACUGGGACUGAGGCACGGCCCAGACUCCUACGGGAGGCAGCAGUGGGGAAUUUUGGACAAUGGACGCAAGUCUGAUCCAGCCAUGCCGCGUGCGGGAAGAAGGCCUUCGGGUUGUAAACCGCUUUUGUCAGGGAAGAAAUCUUCUGGGUUAAUACCUCGGGAGGAUGACGGUACCUGAAGAAUAAGCACCGGCUAACUACGUGCCAGCAGCCGCAGUAACAC